rnacentral:rRNA from 1 species
UAGGGAAUCUUCGGCAAUGGACGAAAGUCUGACCGAGCAACGCCGCGUGAGUGAAGAAGGUUUUCGGAUCGUAAAACUCUGUUGUUAGAGAAGAACAAGGACGUUAGUAACUGAACGUCCCCUGACGGUAUCUAACCAGAAAGCCACGGCUAACUACGUGCCAGCAGCCGCGGUAAUACGUAGGUGGCAAGCGUUGUCCGGAUUUAUUGGGCGUAAAGCGAGCGCAGGCGGUUUCUUAAGUCUGAUGUGAAAGCCCCCGGCUCAACCGGGGAGGAUCAUUGGAAACUGGGAGACUUGAGUGCAGAAGAGGAGAGUGGAAUUCCAUGUGUAGCGGUGAAAUGCGUAGAUAUAUGGAGGAACACCAGUGGCGAGGGCGGCUCUCUGGUCUGUAACUGACGCUGAGGCUCGAAAGCGUGGGGAGCAAACAGG